CCUACGGGUGGCAGCAGUAGGGAAUAUUGCUCAAUGGGGGAAACCCUGAAGCAGCAACGCCGCGUGGAGGAUGAAGGUUUUCGGAUUGUAAACUCCUUUUGUUAGAGAAGAUAAUGACGGUAUCUAACGAAUAAGCACCGGCCAACUCCGUGCCAGCAGCCGCGGUAAUACGGAGGGUGCAAGGGUUACCCGGAAUCACUGGGCGUAAAGGGCGCGUAGGCGGGAUAGCAAGUCAGAUGUGAAAUCCUAUGGCUUAACCAUAGAACUGCCUUUGAAACUGGUAUUCUAGAGUGUGGGAGAGGUAGGAGGAAUGCUUGGUGUAGCGGUGAAAUGCAUAGAGAUCAAGAGGAAUACUCAUUGCGAAGGCGACCUGCUAGAACAUAACUGACGCUGAUGCGCGAAAGCGUGGGGAGCAAACAGGAUUAGAUACCCCUGUAGUC
rnacentral:rRNA from 1 species